CUACGGGGUGCAGCAGUGGGGAAUAUUGCACAAUGGGCGCAAGCCUGAUGCAGCCAUGCCGCGUGUAUGAAGAAGGCCUUCGGGUUGUAAAGUACUUUCAGCGGGGAGGAAGGGAGUAAAGUUAAUACCUUUGCUCAUUGACGUUACCCGCAGAAGAAGCACCGGCUAACUCCGUGCCAGCAGCCGCGGUAAUACGGAGGGUGCAAGCGUUAAUCGGAAUUACUGGGCGUAAAGCGCACGCAGGCGGUUUGUUAAGUCAGAUGUGAAAUCCCCGGGCUCAACCUGGGAACUGCAUCUGAUACUGGCAAGCUUGAGUCUCGUAGAGGGGGGUAGAACUCCAGGUGUAGCGGUGAAAUGCGUAGAGAUCUGGAGGAAUACCGGUGACGAAGGCGGCCCCCUGGACGAAGACUGACGCUCAGGUGCGAAAGCGUGGGGAGCAAACAGGAUUAGAUACCCGAGUAGUC
rnacentral:rRNA from 1 species